rnacentral:rRNA from 1 species
CCCUUAGAUGUCCUGGGCCGCACGCGCGCUACACUGACAUGUUCAACAAGUUUCUCCUAGUUCGACAGGACUGGGAAAUCUUUGAACGCAUGUCGUGAUAGGGAUAGAUCAUUGCAAUUAUUGAUCUUGAACGAGGAAUUCCUAGUAAACGCGAGUCAUCAGCUCGCAUUGAUUACGUCCCUGCCCUUUGUACACACCGCCCGUCGCACCUACCGAUUGAAUGUUUCGGUGAAGAUUCCGGAUAGGACUGAUUUGAUUUAUUUCAUUUCUGACCUAAACGCUAUCUAAACCUCAACAUUUAGAGGAAGGUGAAGUCGUAACA